rnacentral:rRNA from 1 species
UACAGAGGGUGCGAGCGUUGUCCGGAAUCGCUGGGCGUAAAGGGCGCGUAGGUGGUGGCUUAAGCGUGCGGUGAAAGCUCGGGGCUCAACCCCGAGUCGGCCGUGCGAACUGGGCUCACUGGAGCAUAGUAGAGGCAGGUGGAAUUCCGGGUGUAGCGGUGGAAUGCGUAGAGAUCCGGAAGAACACCGGUGGCGAAGGCGGCCUGCUGGGCUAUGGCUGACACUGAGGCGCGACAGCGUGGGGAGCAAACAGG